ensembl:lncRNA
GGCCUGAGGCCGCGCCGCUGCACCGCCACAGAAACCUGGAAGAGCUGGACUGUGGCGACGGGUUGCAUACAAGUGUGCUCUCCCGGGAUGGACACUGUUACUAUAGCCAAGUAGGCCCGACAACUCUGCCUGCAGUCUUUCUAUGUGACCCCAGCUCAGUGGGCUGCUGGGUGUGCCACUGAAGAACUCGUGGUUUGCGGUCAGGUUUCAUGGAUGAGACCUGUUUCCUGGACAGAGGACAACACAGGAACAUUUGUAGAGGUCUGUCUAUCUAGAGAGGGUCUCAGGCUAACCCACGUGGCUUCGCCUCUAUAAUCCUCC